CCUGGCUUGGGUAUCUAAUUUCCUGUUUUAAAUACCAAUGAUUGUUGCUGAAAAACCAAACCUUAACAGUGUCAUAUUUAUCACAUCUGACAACAGAUGCAAGAAGAUCUGAACUACAAUUCCACUUAAGCAAUUCUACUGUUGCGUCCACUGGUGCGUUAAUUCUAAAAGAGCUUCUAACUAGUCCAUUUCUCUCAUAAAAAACUAUUUCUGGACACUCAUUCUCAGCUCUUCUGUCAUAGA
rnacentral:misc_RNA from 1 species